UCUCUUCUCCUCUGCCCUAGUUUUCCUGGUGUCGUUGUCUUGGUACCACACUGCCGCCGGCCAUCAGGAUCAGCCGAGUUCUGUGUGAUUUUGGAGGUCACGGAUUGGUGUGGUUUGGUUGGGAAGGGACUGCUGAUACAGAGUUGAGAUUUAGUAACUUUGUGAUCCCCAGCAGCGGCUCUGAUCUUGUUUCAGCAACCAACGUCUUUGAUUUUGGAUCAACAGUGAUACAUACGAAUUGAGGACUUUGACGCGAGACGAGUAUCUCGGAGUCAGAUUGGACCUUUCUAUUUUCG